rnacentral:snRNA from 1 species
GUACUCCCUUCAGUAGCAUGUAUAGUAAAACUGGAAUGAUGCAGAGAAGAUUAGCGUGACCCCUGUGCAAGGAUGACACACAAAUUGGUGAAGUGUUCUAUAUUUAA